AGCGCCGUCCUGCCUUUGAAGUUCUCGUCCUGGCGGCUCAACUGGUCUUUGUCGUGGUAGUAGGAGUGGGCCGGAAUGUUUCCGGUUGUCACCUGAAUCCAGUGGAUGACCACUUCAUCACCAGCCUGAAAACUGCACGUGGCUGAAGUUCACUCUGAAAUCACCGCUGGACGUUGCAGCAGAUGAGGAAACUCUCAUCCAGAAGAGAAACCUUUCCAAAGUAAAAGGAGCGCCGCCUACAGU